ACAAGCGAGUUAAGGAUGUGACAA
rnacentral:miRNA from 1 species